CCUACGGGUGGCAGCAGUCGGGAAUAUUGCGCAAUGGAGGAAACUCUGAUGCAGUGACGCCGCGUGCAUGAAGAAGGUUUUCGGAUCGUAAAGUGCUUUAGACAGGGAAGAAAAAAGACGGUACUUGUUGACUAAGCUCCGGCUAACUACGGGCCAGCAGCCGCGGUAAUACGUAGGGAGCAAGCGUUAUCCGGAUUUAUGGGGUGUAAUGGGUGCGUAGACGGAGAAGCAAGUUAGUUGUGAAGUCCCUCGGCUUAACUGAGGAACUGCAACUAAAACUACUUCCCUUGAGUGCUGGAGAGGAAAGUGGAAUUCCUAGUGUAGCGGUGAAAUGCGUAGAUAUUAGGAGGAACACCAGUGGCGAAGGCGGCUUUCUGGACAGUAACUGACGUUGAGGCACGAAAGCAUGGGGAGCAAACAGGAUUAGAUACCCCGGUAGUC
rnacentral:rRNA from 1 species